AUGAUGUCCUGACCCCACCUCAUUUAGUUUAAUUUUUCAUAAUUUUCUUAAUUAAUUUACUAUUUAUUCUUGAUUUAUUUCUAACCUAGUCUCAUUAAUUGACUCUUGGUUUGACCUCUGUUUUAUUUUAAUUAAUUUAUGUACCAAUUUUCGUUAUUUUUAAAAUCUUUUUUGGGGAUGAUGAUGUCCUGACCCCACCUCAUUUAGUUUAAUUUUUCAUAAUUUUCUUGAUUAAUUUACUAUAUAUUAUUGAUUUAUUUCUAUUCUAGUCUCAUUAAUUGACUUUUGGUUUGACCUUUGUUUUAUUUUAAUUAAUUUAUGUACCAAUUUUCGUUAUUUUUAAAAUAUUUUGUGAGGAUGAUGAUUUCCUGACCCCACCUCAUUUAGUUUAAUUUUUCAUAAUUUUCUUGAUUAAUUUACUAUUUAUUCUUGAU
rnacentral:lncRNA from 1 species